rnacentral:rRNA from 1 species
UACGUAGGGGGCAAGCGUUAUCCGGAUUUACUGGGUGUAAAGGGAGCGUAGACGGCGAUGCAAGUCUGAAGUGAAAGCCCGGGGCUCAACCCCGGGACUGCUUUGGAAACUGUAUGGCUGGAGUGCUGGAGAGGCAAGCGGAAUUCCUAGUGUAGCGGUGAAAUGCGUAGAUAUUAGGAAGAACACCAGUGGCGAAGGCGGCUUGCUGGACAGUAACUGACGUUGAGGCUCGAAAGCGUGGAGAGCAAACAGG